AUGCAUUAUUGAAGAACCCUAAAAUCAAACACUAAUACACAGACAAAAAUUAGUACCAGAGACAUGUGAUAUGAGAAGCUCCCAGGACACAAUGUGGAAAAUGCUCAAAAGUGGGGAGAUGGGACCUGAAGAGACCACCUCCAGUAGAUAGACAGGACCUCCAGUGGAUGGUGACACUAACCCACCUUCAAAAUUUUUGACCCAGAAUUGUUCCUGUUUAAAAGAAAUGUGGGACAAAAAUGGAGCAGAUACUGAAGGAAAGGCCAACCAGUGACCGACCCAACUUGGGAUUCAUCCCAUGAAUGGACACCAAUCAAACUCUAACACUAUUACGGAUACCAUUGCUUGCAGAAAAGAGCCUAUCAUGGCUGUCCUCCAAGAGGCUCUAUCAGCAGCUGACUGAGACAGAUGGAGACACAACCAAGUGUUGGACUGAGGUCAGCGACCCCUAUGAAAAAUGUAGGGGAAGAACUAAAAGAACUGAAGGGGAUGUCAACUUCAAAGAAGACCAACAGUGUCAACUAACUUGGACCCCUGGUAGCUCCUAGAGAUUAAGCCACUAACCAAAGAGCAUACAAGGCCUGGUCCAGGGCCCUGGCCCCACCCCUCUCUGGCACAUAAGCAGCAGAGGACUGCAUUAUCUGGUCUCAGUAUGAAAGGAUGUGCCUAAUCCUUUAAAGACUUGAUGCCCCAGAAUGCCUAGGCACAUCAAAUGUCAUCGUCCUGGGAGCAUUUCAAGAAUGGGAACACUGAGCACCAUGGUGACAGCCGCUGUGAUUCUGUGAUAUCCUACCGGAGGGCAGGUGGUCAGCUAAUGAGAAUGGGAGCUGCUGACUGAUAAAUGGAGAAGAUUGAGAUGCCUCCCCGAACACUCCUGCACCCGCCAGAAGCCUGUGGACAGUGAGAUAAGUAAACAGAAAGGGCGACAGUUGUCUCUGUGCGGGUGCCUCGUGUGGACUCUGCUUUGGGUAGUUGUCAUGGAUGUGUCGUGUCCUCACACUCCCUUCUAAGAUAAGCAAACCUUUCUCUGUCAGUCAUCCAUAAAGAAAUCCCAGUCCACAAGAAGUCACCGUCUCCCAAAGCAUGCCUAAGAAUGAGAAAUAUUAACAGGACAAGUCUAGUUUACAUGUAAGCUCUAGCUUUCUAAGUCUAAAAUCUGAUAGGGCAAAAGUGAGAUAGUUAUUUUAAUGAAACGUUUGGGUAAAAUUAUUAAAACAGACUAUUCUACCAUAUUGUUAGUUAAGGUGUUGUCACUGAGGAUGUAACAAGUAUAAGGUAAUUAUGGCCUCCAUGCUAAGUCUGAGAGAAGAAGAGGAAAUCCCCCAUGUGGCAACUACCCUCUCUGUGUACAUAGCAAAGAGGUGACACACCUUCAAAAUAAGUAUUUUCUUUCUUAAGCAUCCUACUAUCCUAACCAUAAAUAUUAAGUGUGGCUUCUGCAUGUCUAUUUUCACAUGUCUCUUCACUCUGGAUAUUGGGCACUGUUAGCAUUUUGUCUAAGCUCUGCCCCACAGUUACCUGGCAACAGUCAGGUAGGCCUGACUCACUAUAAAAGGAGCUGCUUGUCUCCUCUGCUCUCUCUUGCUCUUGCCUUCCUUCUCCUGCUCUGUCCUCUUGUCAUCGUCCCCCUCACCCCACAUGCUCAUGGCUGGCCUCUACUUCCCUUCCCUUCCCUUCCCUUCCCUUCCCUUCCCUUCCCUUCCCUUCCCUUCCCUUCCCUUCCCUUCUCUUCCUCCUCCUCUCUCUCUCUGUCUCCCUUUCUUCACCUCUACUACCCUCUUAACUCCCCUCCCCAUG